CAAGCUUUGCACCUAUUACUGUCCACCUUAUAUUCCUCAAUACAACUUUGACGUCGUUUGGUUUCAACACAGAGAGAUGUUGCUAUGACGAAUAGUUUCAGGAUUUAUCUCUCGUAGAUCGAAGGCAAGCUUGGUUGGUAUUCAAAGUGACUGAUAAGCGCAGAAGUAACCAGGUUUCUGGUCAAUGCAAUUAUGUGAUAAUCACAAGCCAACACAUUAGUUCUAAAGGUAGUAGUUUUUGACAUAAGCCCUCUUACAUUCUGGUAGUAUAUAUUAAGUACUUUAUUACACUUAUUCAUGUUAGACAUAGAGCACAUUUGGAGAAAAUGAAUAGAAAAUAUAAUUUGACAGUAUAAGGCUCAUUCAGUAAUUACCACAUAAUACUACCAUAUAACAGGCCUACUAGGCCUAUAUCAACCAGGCAACUAACUUCAGUAUAAAUAUUGUACAUUAAUAUAAUACUGCUCAUGAUAGGCAUACAUAAUUAAUAAUAAUAAACAUUACAACUAGCAUUGUUCAAGCUUCUAAAUAUGUGUUCCAAACUUAAGCUU